AAAUAAAUAAAUAAAAAACCAACCCAUCACACUUCCAUCUUGACCCCUCAACAAUCACAGGAUUUCCAAACCAUGUGCACAUAUCCUCCUUCAUAGUGCCUCAUCAACACGCAGCUCCUCUCAGUCCCACACUCCCUCACUAACUAGACUCAUUUCCCUUCGCCUCUAUAAUUGAAGAACCCAGCUCGCUCUUCCCUUACUAGCUUUUCCUUCCCUUCUAAUUUUGACUUUCUUCAUAUUUUUUCUCAAUUCUACAAAAACAAACCUCGCCUUGUGUUCGAUUCUCUUAAUGCUUUGCCUUUCCUUUGGACCCUAGCCUCGCCGUUAUAGCACUCAAAGCCUAGCAGUAUCAUUGCCAUUUGAAGCCUUGAAGCAGCCUCUUGCUCAUGAUUUCAAUGAGGGUAUGG
rnacentral:misc_RNA from 1 species